rnacentral:misc_RNA from 1 species
AUGAUUGCGAAUGGUUACCUUUGGUGCUGGCUCUCGCGAGCAAGUGCACAUUGGUGGCUUUCAUCCACUACUACCCUUGUGAACCUUUGGCCUCUUGCUCGCUUCGGCUGGCAGAGGAUUUUUACACACACACUCGAAUGUCUUACUUUUUGCGAUCACACGCAAUCAAUA